UACGGAGGGUGCAAGCGUUAAUCGGAAUUACUGGGCGUAAAGCGUACGUAGGCGGCUUGUUAAGCAAGAUGUGAAAUCCCCGGGCUCAACCUGGGAACCGCAUUUCGAACUGGCAAACUAGAGUCUUGUAGAGGGGGGUAGAAUUCCAGGUGUAGCGGUGAAAUGCGUAGAGAUCUGGAGGAAUACCGGUGGCGAAGGCGGCCCCCUGGACAAAGACUGACGCUCAGGCACGAAAGCGUGGGGAGCAAACAGG
rnacentral:rRNA from 1 species